rnacentral:rRNA from 1 species
UUGGAGGGCAAGUCUGGUGCCAGCAGCCGCGGUAAUUCCAGCUCCAAUAGCGUAUAUUAAAGUUGUUGCAGUUAAAAAGCUCGUAGUUGAACCUCGGGAUCGAUGGAUCGGUCAUGCCAUCGGUAUGUACUGGUCCCAUCGGUUCUCACCUUCUAAGGAACCAUGAUGUCAUUCAUUUGAUGUUUUGGAGAAUUAGGACUGUUACCUUGAAAAAAUUAGAGUGUUUAAAGCAAGCUAACGCUUGAAUACAUUAGCAUGGAAUAAUGAAAUAGGACGUUGAUCUUAUUUUGUUGGUUUCUAGGGUUGACGUAAUGAUUAAUAGGGAUAGUUGGGGGCAUUAGUAUUCAAUUGUCAGUGGUGAAAUUCUUGGAUUUAUUGAAGACUAACUACUGCGAAAGCAUUUGCCAAGGAUGUUUUCAUUAAUCAAGAACGAAAGUUAGGGGAUCGAAGACGAUCAGAUACCGUCGUAGUCUUAACCAUAAACUAUGCCGACUAGGGAUCGGAUGAUGUUAAUUUUUUAAUGACUCAUUCGGCGCCUUACGGGAAAC